CCUUGUUUUAUUCUGUUUCAUUGUUGUUUGGUUUUCAAGACGGGGUUUGUCUACAGCCCUGGCUGUCCUGGAACUCCCUCUGUAGCCCAGGCUGGCCUCAAACUCACUGCCUGCCUCUGCCUCCCAAGGUGUGUGUCAGCACUGCUCGGCGGCUGCUGCUGCUGCUGCUGCUGCUGCUGUCUGUUGCUCUUCAGUUGUGUGUACGUGUCUGUGUGGGUUUGCGCAUGGCUGCAGGGACCUUUGGUGCAGCAUCGACUUCCCGGUGGAGCUGGAGUCACAGUGCUUGUGAGCUGUCCAGUGCGGGUUCUGGGGACCAAGCUCGAGUCCUCUGUAAGAGUAGAACACACUGACUCUCUGAACCAUCUCUACAGCCCCUGUUUUUGUUUUUAAUGGGAGCCCUAGAACUGUUGUUUCAGUGGGCUGUGUGUGUGGAUCUACAGUGUGAAAAGUCAGAUCAGGGGGCCCUCUCUCCAUCUUAAAUCUGGGCCCUGAAAAGAUGUCUAAGGGGUGAAUCAGCCCUACCGGUGACAGAGUGGGACGUGGGAGGUAGCGUGUUAGUCAGUUUUGCUAGCGUAUCCCUGCGAGGCCUCAGGCCAUGGCCAUUGGCUCCCGUGCUUCAGGGCCCAUGUGUAGUAAGGCAGAGCCUCAGCUGCAGCAGUGUCCUGCCUCAUGUCCGGAUUGUGUGUCAUCAGUGACACACCCUGGGGACAUUCUGUAUAAAGGAUGUCACUAUGAUUGUCCGUGUGUGUCUUGGUUAGCUUUCUACUUUUUUUUUUUUGGUUCUUUUUUUUUUUUCGGAGC
rnacentral:lncRNA from 1 species